rnacentral:rRNA from 1 species
AUUGAACGCUGGCGGCAGGCCUAACACAUGCAAGUCGAGCGGAUGAGUGGAGCUUGCUCCAUGAUUCAGCGGCGGACGGGUGAGUAAUGCCUAGGAAUCUGCCUGGUAGUGGGGGACAACGUUUCGAAAGGAACGCUAAUACCGCAUACGUCCUACGGGAGAAAGCAGGGGACCUUCGGGCCUUGCGCUAUCAGAUGAUCCUAGGUCGGAUUAGCUAGUAGGUGAGGUAAUGGCUAACCUAGGCGACGAUCCGUAACUGGUCUGAGAGGAUGAUUAGUCACACUGGAACUGAGACACGGUCCAGACUCCUACGGGAGGCAGCAGUGGGGAAUAUUGGACAAUGGGCGAAAGCCUGAUCCAGCCAUGCCGCGUGUGUGAAGAAGGUCUUCGGAUUGUAAAGCACUUUAAGUUGGGAGGAAGGGUAGUAAGUUAAUACCUUGCUGUUUUGACGUUACCAACAGAAUAAGCACCGGCUAACUUCGUGCCAGCCGCCGCAGUAAAAC